AUGGGCUGUCUGCAGAAUCCGCACCAACAGGCACCAUGCCCAUGAUCCUGGGGUACUGGGACAUCCGUGGGCUGGCCCACGCCAUCCGCCUGCUCCUGGAAUACACAGACUCAAACUACGAGGAAAAGAAGUACCUGAUGGGGCACGCUCCUGACUAUGACAGAAGCCAGUGGCUGAAUGAAAAAUUCAAACUGGGCCUGGACUUUCCCAAUCUGCCCUACUUGAUUGAUGGGACUCACAAGAUCACCCAGAGCAAUGCCAUCAUGUGCUACAUUGCCCGCAAACACAACCUGUGUGGGGAGACAGAAGAGGAGAAGAUUCGUGUGGACAUUUUGGAGAACCAGCUUAUGGACAACCGCAUGGAGCUGGCCAGACUCUGCUUUGACCCAAAUUUUGAGAAACUGAAGCCCAAGUACUUAGAGCAACUCCCUGAAAAGCUAAAGCUCUACUCACAGUUUCUGGGGAAGCGGCCAUGGUUUGCAGGAGACAAGAUCACCUUUGUGGAUUUCCUUGCCUAUGAUGUCCUUGACGUGAAGCGUAUAUUUGAGCCCGGCUGCCUGGACGCCUUCCCAAACCUGAAGGACUUCAUCUCCCGCUUUGAGGGUUUGAAGAAGAUCUCUGCCUACAUGAAGUCCAGCCGAUUCCACCGAGGUCUUUUGUUCAGAACGACAGCCACGUGGAACAGCACAUAGGGCCCCGUGAUGCCAGAAGACGGGAGGGAAGAGCCGACCCUGCUGCCUGCGACCCCGGAGAACAGCCCGACUCCCUGGACCCGCCUUCUUUCUUUCUCCUUCUUUCUACUGUCUUCUCUUCCUCAAGGCCUCAUUGGCUUCCUUUCUUCUAACAUCAUCCCUCCCUGCAUCAAGGCUCUUUAAAGCUUCAGCUCCCCACUGUCAUCCAUCAAAGUCCCCCUCCUAACAUCUUUCUUUUCCUGCACUAACGCCAACCUGACUGCUUUUCCUGUCAGUGCUUGUCUCUUCUUUGAGAAGCCAGACUGAUCUCUGAGCUCCCUAGCACUGUCCUCAAAGACCAUCCGCAUGCCCUGCUCCCUUUGCUAGGUCCCUACCCCAGCCCUGUGUGAUGCCCAGUAAAGCCUGAACCAUGAAAAAAAAAAAAAAAAAAAAA